AAGUGACAAUGUUUAUACAGCAAUAAGGGCAAAGGUACAGGAUGGCAGGCAGGCUCAGGGGCAGACAGAGUGGUCAGGCGGGCAGGCAGAGUGGUCAGGCGGGCAGGCAGAGUGGUCAGGCGGGCGGGCAGAGUGGUCAGGCGGGCAGGCAGAGUGGUCAGGCGGGCAGGCAGAGUGGUCAGGCAGGCAGGCAGAGUGGUCAGGCGGGCGGGCAGAGUGGUCAGGCGGGCGGGCAGAGUGUUCAGGCGGGCGGGCGGGCAGAGUGGUCAGGCGGGCAGACAGAGUGGUCUGGCGGGCGGUCAGAGUGGUCAGGCGGGCACAGGG
ensembl:lncRNA